UGCGUAGGCGGGUCUUUAAGUCAGGGGUGAAAUCCUGGAGCUCAACUCCAGAACUGCCUUUGAUACUGAGGAUCUUGAGUUCGGGAGAGGUGAGUGGAACUGCGAGUGUAGAGGUGAAAUUCGUAGAUAUUCGCAAGAACACCGGUGGCGAAGGCGGCUCACUGGCCCGAUACUGACGCUGAGGCACGAAAGCGUGGGAGCAAACA
rnacentral:rRNA from 1 species